UUGGAGGGCAAGUCUGGUGCCAGCAGCCGCGGUAAUUCCAGCUCCAAUAGCGUAUAUUAAAGUUGUUGCAGCUAAAAAGCUCGUAGUUGAAUUUCGGGGUUCAUCCGUUGGUCGGGCUUUUUUGGUCUGUACUGGCGUGAUGGAUUCCUACCUUCUGAAUAACCAGCAUGUCAUUAAUUUGGUGCGCUGGGGAAGCAGGACUGUUACCUUGAAAAAAUUAGAGUGCUUAAAGCAGGCUAUCGCUUGAAUACAUUAGCAUGGAAUAAUGAAAUAGGACGGCAUGGUUCUAUUUUGUUGGUUUCUAGGAUCACCGUAAUGAUUAAUAGGGAUAGUUGGGGGCAUUAGUAUUCAAUUGUCAGAGGUGAAAUUCUUGGAUUUAUUGAAGACUAACUUCUGCGAAAGCAUUUGCCAAGGAUGUUUUCAUUAAUCAAGAACGAAAGUUAGGGGAUCGAAGACGAUCAGAUACCGUCGUAGUCUUAACCAUAAACUAUGCCGACUAGGGAUCGGACGAUGUUAAUUUUUUAAUGACUCGUUCGGCGCCUUACGGGAAAC
rnacentral:rRNA from 1 species